AGCUGCCGCAGCACAGAGACGGCACGUGACGGCACGGCGAGACAGCACGACGUGCCGUCUCUGUGCCGUCUCUGUGCCAGCAGAAAACGCUACCGGCGGGGAGCGAUUUUAUCGCAUAUAAAAAUAAUGCUAAAUAAAAAUUAGUUAGAACGCAUAACUAAGCAUCUACAUCAUAAAUAAUUAAUAAAUUUUGUUAUAUAGUAUAAAAAAAAUUUUAUGUAAGAAAAAAAAAUCUGCCGGGUGUAGGGCUGGAACUCACGAUCUUUGGAUCAGAAGUCCGAAGCUCUAGCCUCUGAGCCACAACUCUUCUUACAAUUUGAUGCACAAUUGCACCUAAUAAUCAUCGCUAAUAAUUAGAAUUAUGUAAUAAAAUAAUGUUUAAAUGUAAUUCGGUUUGGAGAGAAUAAAAAAAGUAAUAAAUGUAUGCUCUUUACUAAUUAAAGUCCAUAAUUAUUAAUAAUGCAACAUUCUGAGCACGCGGCACGCGUGCUGUCGCUGUGCAGUCUCUGUGCCGUCGCGUACAGACGCCUAGGUCGAGACAGCAACUGGACGGCACAGUGACAGCACGACGUGCGGCACGUCAAGAGCAUGCUCUGCAAAAAAACGCCCGCCAGAUGUCCCCGCUUGAUAGCACAGAGACGGCACACGGACAGCACGCCGUGCGGCACAACAAGUCUCGGUGGAGACAGCACGUGCUGUUAUCUGGGUAUAGAAAUAGAAGAGAAAGAUAUCUUUUAUUUAUAGUGAUAUAUAGUUUUCAGAGCAUAGUCACGUAAAAAGUUUAAUUUUAAUUCUUAUUUUUUUUUGUAUUUAACAGACUGUAAUAAGUUACAUUACCGAUAUUAUUAAUUGUAACUAAAAAUUAAAUAAAUAACUAAUAUGUAUGAUAUAGAAUACUUUGAAUCAAUAAUUUUUAAUAAAAUUUAAAAAAAUGUAUCAGUUGAUAAAAUAAAUCGAUAUUUGGAAGACCUGAAAGUGGUAGGAAAUAAUUGAGAGAGAAAUAAUGCUAUAGGAUAGAAAAAACUUGGUUUACGAGGUUAUCCAUCUUUUAUUAAACAAAACUGUAAUCAACGCAACGCUGACAAAAUCAUGAUAUGACAAGAUAAAGUUCCAGGUUCCGUGGCUUUAAGUAAAUCAGAGAAAGCUAAACAAAGUUUUCUUGCUGCGUCUAGCAAUCGAUCGCCUGACGAUUCAUCAUCAAGCAAGGCAGCUAUCAUCCUUACACCUUUCGUCAUUUCUGGCAAAUUAGAUGUUAUGGUUGUAAUAGCAGCGCCAACAGCAGUAUGAUCGACAUCAUCGUUGGUUCCAGACGUCAACGUUACAACCUGAGCAGUAGCAGCGUUCAUCGCAGCUAUUUGUGAACCAAUAUUUUGCUUGUGCGUGUCGAUAGUUUGUUCUAUCCAUCGUAGCGAAGUGACAUCAUUGCCAAGCUCAGGAACAGAAGCUUUACAAGAUAAUUCUGUUUCAGCGAUUUGAAUGAUUUCUUGACCACUAAUAAUGGUCGAAGAUAAGGCACGUUGUGGUUCUGUAAGGACGGACGUAAUUUUGGGUUGUUGAAUCUAAAAGAUGAACAAUGAUUUUAAUAUUUUAUAGCGGGAUUUAUAUGCAUAAUUUACUAGUAUAUGAUGGAUUUAGAAAGAGCUUACUAUUGUCGGAGCAUGAGAAACGUUAGCUUGUUCACUUAUGGUCGUAUACUGCGCGCUCGCCAUAUAUCCUGUUCCAUAUAAUCUUGCACCUGUAAAUUUUGCAAUAAAAAUUAACUUCUACGUAAAAAAA
rnacentral:lncRNA from 1 species